GUCAAAUUCCGAGAUUCUUUGUCUGGUUUACUAUACGGAUUAUUUUUCGAAGAUAAUCAUUAUCUACAUCAAACAAGAGGCGUGCCUCACGAGUGAUUGCCAUAUCGGUUCCCAGAGUGUUAACCGCCGAUUAUACGGUAAUCGCUAAUUAACUGUUCGAACCUUUCAGCCAACGUAUUACUGCAUUCAAUGCUAUUGGCAUUGAGACGAAUGUAAUGCGCAAAAUCGUUUCGUGGAAGACCUCCAUUAUAGGAAAUGUUAAUGCUAAAGUGGACGAGAGCCGAAUGAGAAUGAUGCCCGCGAUUAAUAUGGAUUUGACUGGGAACCUUUAAUAGUUUCCGUCCUCAUAUCGCCCUAUUCAAUUAUUCAUGAUGGAAAUUUUGCGAGAAUAGGCAAUCCAAAACAUUUUAUCGUUUAAAUAUGACAUGCAAAUUUUUUCUUUUUUUUUUUUUUAUUAGACUAUUUUUAUUAAAUAGCAAAUAGAUAUAAAACCAAAACACGUCGUGUUUCCAUCUCUAUAUAUUUCAUAUUGUUUCAAAAUGUAUUGAAUCAUUAUCUCAAAUAUUUUAGCCAGAGAUUUAUCGAUCAAAGUUUAUUAGCUCAACCUCUGUCAUGGUUUUAUGUAGAUAACAGUAGCGCGAGACUCGCUUUAUUCAUGCGACGCGUCUAACUUUUGUUUUUAUACACAUCCUAUACGGCAGCAUUAUUUUACAUCGUAUUCAUUAAGCAAUGAAAAAGCAGAAUUUUAAAACAAUAAUGGUUACCACACAUAUAUGACUGGUAAAAUAUUUUUCCUCAACCGUGAAAACAUGCAAAAUUAUAUUGUUUUACCAAAAUAUAGCGUACCCUGGAAUUUUUAUCAUGAUUAUAAAUACAUAUAAUGGAUAAAUUAGUGAAAAAUAAAACGGAUCAUAUUUCUGCUGUGACAUAAUUUCUGUUGCGUUUGUUCUCAAUAUCACAUGUAUCUAAUACUCGUAAGUUAGUAUUAUAACGUAACACUUAUAGCAAGACAUGUGCCAAAACCUAAAGAUAGAAUGCCGCCCAAGAAUAACAGAAUCGCGAGCUUAAAAUAAACGAGGCGAAUAACACUCAGCGAAAAUCCCUUGAUUUGUGUGCUAACAGCUAAAUAUAUACAAUUUUAUUAAAUUCAAAUGUGUAAGUAUAUGUUUUUAAUACAUGUAUUAAAUUCUUUUCAAGAUCAAUAAGCUAAAUGAGCAUAUCUAUUUCACCAUGUAAAGAUUUCUUUGUCUACCUUUCUCUUUUUUUGUAUACACAUACGUUCCAUAUAGGGAGCACAGAUGAUUGUUUGCAUUCGGAUCUUUAAAUAGAAUUGAAGCAAUCAGAGUGAAAUCAAGUGAAAUUAAAGAUCACACUUAUUCAAAAAAUUGUUACAUUAAAAAUAAAGAGAUAUGUAGUUCCGAUAAGGUAAUAUUGUUAUACAAAUGUUAAAUAUCACAGUGUAUAACUAUUAUACGUUCUUUAAGUAAGGAAAAUCAAAUUUUUAGACUGUACAUAUUAUAUAUUCUAUUCAUCGUAAUAAACAACCCGAUAUCUCAACAGAGAUACAAACUAAGAAAAAAAACUUUGUUGAUUCUGUAAAUUGGCUUUAAAAUUUUCUUCUCGACCGGACUUUCGUGACGUAAUUGUCGAGAACAUACUAUUAUAACAUCAAGCAACGUAACGAGCAACAAGUAUCGCGCUUCUUGCGAGGCACGCCAGGAACUUUGGACACAUAAUGUUCUGCGGAGUGCACGCGGCAUGACAGCGGACACAUAUACAAAUACACGCGGCUCGGAUAUACACAUACACAGAAGGUACAUACCACAGACACAAGACUGUCCCCCUAUUUCAGACGCUGCUUGAUGUCCAUUCCUCGUCCCUCAACGUCGUCUUUCUCUUUCUCUCUGUCUUUCUCUUUCGCACCAAAUGAACCUCAACACGCGUCCCUUUCUCAGUCUCUUUAAAGCACAUACGCCCCUUGGAGAAUCCUCUCACUUUGACGAACCGACGAACGAACGAUCGUCCAGCAACGGCUUCCUGCCCGAUGAUGGUACGCUUCGCGUGCACGAUCCACCUGUCUGAUCGAUCGACACAAUACUGAAGAAACGAUCGGGCUGUUCGAUCACGAGCGAUCACGAUCGUCUCCCACCGCCUUACGCGAGCACGUGAGCACCGCGCCGCUUCUGGAGCGGCGACGAAUUCCAAACAAGUUUCGGGAUUCCAACUAAAACUUCGUCGUCUAGAAAUUCACGGCAACGAACGUGCUCGAAGUUAAUCACCCGACUGGUCGUCGAUGGUAUCUUCCGCCUCGGAACGCGCGUUAGAGACUUCAGUUCGCUUCAGUUCGCUGUUCUCUUCAACUCGUAUUUGAUAUACGUGAUAAAGUGCGCAAACUCUGCUCCAGAUUGAUGCCUCAGGUUGUAAACGUCAACAGGUAUAUGGCUUAAUUCACUAGAAAUCGACUGCGAUCAGGUCGACUGACUUGCUCAAGGCCAUCUGAUGGUCGUCGACCGGCAUAAUCGACGCAUGACAAUCCAUUAUGUCAACGAUGUCGAAGUUUCGAAUCGUGAACUCUUCCAUGCGGCUAUUAUACACCAUAAAGGCAAAGGAGAUGUUGAAGAUCACACACGCGCUUGGAAUCACACGCACUUUCGGACUUGCUCACGAUUUCGUGUCGCUUAUAGUAAAUCGGUCAAGCGAUAUGUAUGCACUGGACUUCUCGGUGUGUCACAAGUCUGGUUAACGAGACGACUAAUUCGAACGUGUUAGGUCCACGAGGAGGAGGUGGUCGUGAUGGUAGCAGUAGUGGUGGCGGCAUAAAAGGUGGCGGGGAGGAGGCGAAGACGGACCUCGAUCCUCGCCACCCGCACACACUCCCGUCUGACAAUAAUACACGCGAGAGAAAGCGCGCAGGAGGAACCCGUGAAGAGAAAAAAAGACAGAACGAAGCCGAGAGCGAGACUGUAAUGGUCGUGUUGGUGCAACGGCCCAGCGUGUUAGUAACAGUGGCAAGAUGACCUCAGAGAUGGGACUAUCAUUCUCUGGGACCCCGGACCGAAACGCGACACUUGCUGCACUUGUUAGUGGUGAGGUAAAAUCUCUCUGACCUUGCUUUUCUAUUAUCUGGCCACCAGUGUUCGAUCAUUCAUCUUGUGCCUUUAUUAUUGAUACCGAGACGCAACGCGAAAUUGCUAAAAAUAUUUAUUUUUAUAGAUAUAUUCCGAUAAUAUUCCAAGAGAAUACAAAACUUCGAAAUAAUUACUUAACGAAAGUAAUUAUUUUUAUUGAGCUAAUUUUUAUCAAAGUAUUUUAUAUAGUUCAAUCCGAAAUAUUUAUUAUUAAAUCUCUAAUUUUUUAUUAUCAUUAUUGUUUUUCAUGAUAAUUACUUGAUAAUUCCCGAUAUUAAUAUGGUAAUCGACUUUUUCUGAUCGACCGUUUUACAUAAACGUACUCGAAAAGAGAUAUGCAAUGGAGUUUUGUCAAAUUCACAAAAAAAGAUCUCUUUAUAAAUUAAAAAUACUGAAACUAAUUGCAUGACUAUUACGAUUAGAAGCGCCGGAAAGAGCUCCUCUUACCGAGACUUUCAUCGAUUGUCGACAUUUGACGGACAUGACCUGCCUUGCUGAAAUAUAUUCACGAUGCGGACGUGACGUGUCGAAACAAACUUGAUUGUAUUCAUGUAGUUAAUAGUAACUGUGUCUUCGUAUUUUUUUAAUUAUAAUUGUCAAAACAAUUUAUAGCGAUUAAUUAGAAUAAAAAAAAGAUAAUUUCUUAUUAAACUCACGUUAUGAUUAUUAGUAUUUUUUUUUGCACGUACGAUUUGAUAUAUCAAUAACAAUAAACGUAACAACUCACAUUCUUUCGCGUUUUCACGAACAAAUCAGCUAAAUAUUUUACGUAAAAUAUCUGCAUAAUGUGAACAUAUAUAUAUAUAUGCAAAUCAAAAAUGUUUAUAUAUUCACAUUUUACCUAAAUUUGUUCUCCAUUAGUGAUAUUUAAUAAAUUGUCAUAUACAAGUGUCAUAUAAUAAAGCGUUAUCUCUCGCAGGCGACUUUGGUGCCGAGCAGUCGACAAGUUCAUUAAUCCGCUUUUCUAGGAGAAUUCUUGGAGGUCAUGACUAAUACAACAUGAAACAGUAUAAUACGCAUCAAAAUGCUGCGUAUUAUGUGUGCCCGCGUAGACGCGAAAAACUCGCUCUUUUCCCACCGCAAUUAAGAGUCGCAGACUUAAACUUUCAUCUUCUCAACAACUUCAAUCACACGUACUAAUAUGAAAAGAGGCACACAAGCGUUGAUAAGUAUCGCGGCCUAAAUUUACCACUUACGUAAUGAGUCGCACACGUAUAUAUACACACGUACACAUACUUUUCAAAAUCACGACACUAUCAGAAAAUCAUACACAAACGGCGAGAAAUUUUACGUAACCAGGAAACUAAUUACCGAUUGACAAAUUACAGAUUAAGGCCACAAGAUAACUUUUUAGUGUCCCAACACUUGUGCUUGCUGAUGCUUUACGGCGCGAAAUGCUUAUCACUGCAAUUGCUAGUAUUCAGGAGUACAGCCGGAUUAAUUGCGAGAUCUUAGCGCGACGAAAGAUCGCUUCGAACCGAAGCGUUACCGCCAAAAGAGCGAAGCGACUUGGUAUCGCAUGAGUCACAUCCCACGAUCCACACAUUCCUGCAUGAUGUCAUAAUGUGGCACUCACGCACACAUCGCAACGGUCAAGCGGCUGCCGGGAAAUAAACCGAGCAAAGUAUUUUUUCCUGGAUACGAGUCACCGUUAUUGCUAAACGCACGAUGCAAGUUUUAAUAUAACCAUUACGAGAGGUAAUCAUCAGUUCAAUGAUUGGGAUAUUCAUUGCCGAAUGGAAAGCGUUACUAAUGGCAUAAUGCGCGACAUCCAUGAUUUAUGAAACUGCCAAUGACGAGUGAACGUAACUAAUGAAGUAAAAAAAUUUGACCCUAAUAGCUACCGUUUCUUCAUGUAACGACAAGAAGCGGGACAAACAAUAAAUGUUAUCGAAUGUAUCGCGCUAUCACAUGACAAACAGGGUCACAAACGGAAAGUCGGUUUCUCUAGAACAAUGGUGGCUUAUUUUCGCAGCGCUAAAUCCAUAAUCGCGCAAAGGGCUCUAUAAUUUUGUGCAUGGAGUUUAUUAUUUUUCCUGAUCCGACUACAAAAGCAACUACGUACUUUCAGUUAUGGUUAUAAACAAAACACAAUAAAAAAAUUAACCUAUUGCUUGAAAGUGCAUUCCAGUUUUGUUUCUUUCGACGAAAUGGUUAAAGUCACGAGUUUUCUCACCGUACAAUAAAACGCAAUAAUUAUCAAUCUUCGCUUACACAAAACCGACGAUCUUAUGGAUAAUUUUACUUUCUAAUAAGUUUGAAAUCGUUCAGCUUUGUUAUUCUUGCCUACUGUUAUUUGCUAUAUUGAUAAAAAACAUACACCGAAGAUAUUUGAUUUCCAAUGAGAAAUAAAAAAAUGAUUAAAUGUAACAUCUUAUUAAAAAAAUUAGAAAUUAGAAAAAUUCAAAUUAUUAUUAUUAAAUUAAUUUCGCAUGACGUUUCAACUACUACAUGCAAAACGAUUAUAUACAUAUGUCGACGCAAUUUGUAUAUUAUUACGAAUUAACUGUUGGAAACGCAUAUUCAGCUUGUAAUGCGUACCCCACCGGAUGUCAUAAUGUCGUUUGCCUUAAGUAAGCAUUGUAUUAACUAUCCACUUUCCAGCCAUCAGUGUAACGCAAUUCGCGUAUUAAGAUAUGUUGUAAUGUUGUUUCUAAGUAGAAUCUUCAAUAAUACAGAGCUAUAACCUAGGGCAAUUAAGUCACUUUAUCUUCGUCGUCUUUAUCUUUAGAAAAGUCGCGUUGAUAACAUAUGAUAUCGAAAAAACACAUUUGAUACAAUCCGACAAAAUAUUAUCAAUACAUAUUGCUCUCACGUAUUUACUUCAAAUUUCUUCGCAUAAAAUGCAGGAAAAAUAUGAAGCGUAAUCACGUCACAUCACUUAUGUAAAAUUUACAGAAGAUGCACUGCAUCAUAUCAAUAAAAAAUUAUUUUAAAAAUAGAAUUGAUAUAUAAUUUUAUAAAAUAAAAUUCAUGUAAGUUCUACAAUUUGUUAUUAUGUAUAUAAAAUAAGUAUAAUAAAAUAACAUAUCAUUCAUGGGAAUUUUCAUCUCGCUCCACUUUUGAUUUAUCUCUUGUUAUAAUAUAUACUAUAAUUUCAUCUUUUGCAUACACUCUCAUGUCUCACUAUCUUAUGUACACAAUAUAUGAGACUGUCACGUAAUUGAUCACAAAAAAUCACAUAUAAUAUUCAAAUAUAAUAUGCAGCCAAAUUAAACAAUAAAAUCGCAAAACAUGCAUAUAUAAAGUAUAUAUAUAGCGCACAAUCCCUUGUGCAAUUCCUUUAUCAAACAUAAUUAACAAACCUCGUUAUUCCUAUCUCGUAUAUAUGUAAUCUGGAAACGUCAAUGCACGUUAUAUAAUUGGGAAUAUAUUGAAAGUGAAAGUUCAAAUAUCAAAUAUAGUGCUAAAACUCAAAUUCAAAUAUAGUGCUGAAACUUACCAUAAGAAAAUGUAAUGUAAAAAGUGUAGUUUUUAUACAUACUAUUAAUUGUUUUACGCACAUAUGACUUUUA